GCUGAAUGGCAGCCAGGGAUUUUACUUUAUAGAGGAAAGGGCUAUGCUUAUGUUUCAACAGAAAAUGGACACCGGCAGUGGCUCCCAGGGCGGUGGAUCCAGACCCGUCACAAUCAGAACGGCACCAAGGGGGGCACCCUAUCCACUACCCCAGCCGAGGAAUCAAGAUCCUGAGCUUGAUGUUUCGGUGGCAGCAAUGGCGCGUCUUCAUCUUGGGGCCCAACGUCGUCGACGUCUUAAUUUCUCUCCCUUACCUACGUGGGGUCAAAUUAAAAAGCUGAGUGGGGAAGGGCAGAAGGUGCUGUAACAAACAGGGAAGAAUUGCACCCCAGAAAAUUUAUUUCUGGCUAUGUGUGCAUUAUUGACAGUGUCUUCCGCUUCUGAGGUACAAAAUAAUAAUACUCACUAUUGGGCCUAUAUUCCCAAUCCACCUUUGCUGGAACCUGUUACUUGGGGUGACAAGGAUAUUACCUUAUAUACUUCUCCUGCUCUUUUAUCUCCCCCUUGGAACAAUUUAACAUAUAUAAAUAUUAAUGAUGGAACACCAUUUAAUUUUACUUAUGAGAAUAAUAACAGUAAACCUAUAUGCUUGGGUGUUCCUCCUUGCUUGCAAUUAGAUUGGCAACAUUGGAUACUAGUUGGAAAUUGGAGUAAAAGUUCUCGAACACGUUUACAACGGUUGUCUGCAUGGUCCGUCAAUAUGACCUGGGAUAAUAUAACUGAACAAAAAUAUCCUAUGUUCCCUGAGUGCCCCGAUUUUACUUAUCAGGACUUGAGAUACUCCCCUUUCAUAUGGCAGGAAUGUUUAGGUAAAUUUGGGAAGAUAUUUCAGAAUAUUAUCAUGUGGGGUCCUUACGGGAUGUUCUUAAAAAAUUGUUCAGAAUGGAAUAUUACUGCUUGUGAUUUAUCUUCUACAUACAGAAUCCCGCCGAAAGAGAGAUGGAAUGAAACCAUUCAGAACGACAAAUUGAUGGCCUGGGGUGAUGGCGGAAUUGCUGAUCCACGCUUGGCUUCAGUGCAGUACCCUCAUCAUUUACAAACACAUUUAUGGAAAAUUGCUGCUGCAAUUAAACCUGUAAUUUUGUCUAAUGGCUCUUUCUCUGGGACUAGUCAAUCUGCUGCUUCUUAUAAUUUUACUGUAUUUAAAGAAUAUAAUAUAACCACAUGUGUGCCCAUGCCAUACCUGUUCUUAAUUGGAAAUGUUACUUUUGAUGAGGGAAUUUUAUGCUUUAAUUGUAAAUUGUAUACCUGUAUUAAUACAUCUCUUUCUAUUCCUUCUGGUUAUUCCAUUGUGCUGUUACAACAGCGCUCUCACAUUUGGCUUCCUGUGAACUUACAAAGAACAUGGUCCCAAGAUCCUGUAAAUACUUUGGUUUUGGAAUUUUUUAGACAAUUGUUAAAACAUACUAAACGGUUUGUGGGAGUUGUUGUUGCUGUAAUUCUAAGUCUUAUCGCAGUGACUACAGUUGCUACAGUUUCAGGGAUAGCUUUACAUACUUCUUUACAAACAAAACAGUUUGUUGAGGAAUGGCAUAAAGAUUCGCAUGAGUUAUGGCUAUCCCAGACUCAAAUUGAUUCUAGACUUCAAACUCAAAUAGAUAUUUUAAAACAGACAGUUAAUUGGUUAGGAAAAAAGAUACUCACUUUAGAAAAAGAAAUUAGAUUAAAAUGUGACUGAAAUUCAACUUCUUUCUGUAUAACUAAUGUACAAUAUAAUCAAAGCUUACACGAAUGGAGUAUCAUACAAAAUUAUCUUGAUGGUAAUGAUACAGCUCAAUUAAUGAUUGAUUCUUUACAAAAGGAUGUAUUUGAAAUUUUUAGAAAAGGGUUUCAACAUGAUGAUGCUGCACAAAUAGCUGAAUUGUUUUUAAAACAGUUAGAGGGAUUAGAUCCCAAAGGAAUUGCUCAAAGUCUUACCCAUAUGGCUGGAGGAGUGGGAAUAGUGUUAUGCUUAGUUAUUAUCCUGUUUAUAAUUACAUAUUGUAUGUGCAUAAGACCAUCUCAAAACGCUAUAUUAACUUUGUGGAAAGCUGUUUUAGAAAAGCAAAAGAAAAAAGAAGGAAUUGUUGGGAUUUAAGUGUGCAGAGUUUAGCUCCCUCAGGCCUGACAUUUUGCAAGAGCUGUGGCUGUGAUUUAGGUUAGCUGAGGCAAACCUCAGCUAGGAGGAGGAAAAGUUCUCUUCCCCUUAUCGCAAGUCACAAGUUCUGCAUGGUUUGGCCAAGAAGAAGAAGCUUCCUGCAUACUUAUCCUGGGAACAGUACAUUCUGAAGAAACAAAUGCAUCCUCAGAGGAGUAGAUAAUGUCUACAAAGAACUUUAGGAGGGUACUUAUCAAACAAACAGGAACAAUUUGAAUCUAGCUCUGUGAAUCUGCUGAGGCAUGAUAUUUGGACAAUGUGGACAACGUGAUAUUAAAGAAUUGCUUGCUUUGUUAGAAGAAGUGUAUAAAAGGAACUUGCAAAUAAACUUCAGCAUGCAGUUGCGAUUGCUGCCUUGGCU
rnacentral:lncRNA from 1 species